rnacentral:rRNA from 1 species
UACGUACGUCCCGAGCGUUGUCCGGAUUUAUUGGGCGCAAAGCGAGCGCAGGUGGUUUAUUAAGUCUGGUGUAAAAGGCAGUGGCUCAACCAUUGUAUGCAUUGGAAACUGGUAGACUUGAGUGCAGGAGAGGAGAGUGGAAUUCCAUGUGUAGCGGUGAAAUGCGUAGAUAUAUGGAGGAACACCGGUGGCGAAAGCGGCUCUCUGGCCUGUAACUGACACUGAGGCUCGAAAGCGUGGGGAGCAAACAGG